rnacentral:rRNA from 1 species
AUUGAACGCUGGCGGUAUGCUUAAGACAUGCAAGUCGUGCGGUAGGGGCUUCGGCCCUGAGAGCGGCGGACGGGUGAGUAACGCGUGGGAAUCUGCCUGCUAGUGGGGGAUAGCCCGGAGAAAUCCGGAUUAAUACCGCAUACGCCCUAAGGGGGAAAGCCGCAAGGCGCUAGUAGAUGAGCUCGCGUAAGAUUAGCUAGUUGGUGAGGUAAAGGCUCACCAAGGCGACGAUCUUUAGCUGGUCUGAGAGGAUGGCCAGCCACAUCGGGACUGAGACACGGCCCGGACUCCUACGGGAGGCAGCAGUAGGGAAUAUUGGACAAUGGGCGCAAGCCUGAUCCAGCCAUGCCGCGUGAGUGAAGAAGGCCCUCGGGUUGUAAAGCUCUUUUGUCCGGAAAGAAAAGCACUGGGUUAAUACCCCGGUGUCCUGACGGUACCGGAAGAAUAAGCACCGGCUAACUUCGUG